CAACUGCGUGGAGUAGAGGAAGAAGAUGCUCUUGUGAUGCUACCAGCAGCAGCUCAACACGUGCGCUGUCUCUGUAUUCCAUAUCACAGGCGUCCCCACCGCUUUGCUGUCAUCUAUGACUGUCCGUUCAUCAUCGCACAGCUGAGUGCGGAAGUGGAACGUCACCUGGAACCACAGACAAGAUCGUCUCCAAUAAUAGAUGAAUCAUUUAUAGGCUGCAGAGAUGAAGUGAAGAAAAGAAGUCUAUCUGAAUGAGCCUUUAUAGGAAGUGAGCUGUUUACUUUUCCACACUAAAACACUACCAACCAAUAGUACCAAGUAGCUGGUGCCAGGAGAAACUGUGAAAUAUAGUGACAACAACAGAUUUUGUGCUGUAAAUAUGCUUAUUGUUAUUACAAUAUCAUAUAAAAGAAUAAAGGGAUAGAACACAGUUGCUUUGUUAUGACUCAGAAGACUUGAAAAGUUCUCGGGUACUUCUGUUUUUCAUGAGCAAUAUAAGUGAGGAUGGACUUUUUUUUAGCCCAUUUUGACAUAGUCAUAAUGAUGCAAUGACAAAAAAAAAAAA